GCUGAGAUUAUAUAUUUUUCAUACUACAUGUAACAUUUGCAUUAAUUCCGUACAUUAUCAAGAAAAACUUGACACCGUAAAAUCAAAACUUUCUCAAGGUAUGUUUAUCUAAAAAUCAAAAACUAUUAAUCAAAUUAAAACUGUCGGUUCCAAAAAUUAAUGUCCUUUAAGCCACUUCAGAGAUUUUGAUUAAUCAAUUAUCAACGUCCGCAGUUAGUGUUCAGGUACUUUGCCAGUCGAUUAACAAACAUAUGGCAGUUGUUUGCUAGAAUGUGGUAUGUAUUACUUCUUCCGUAAGCUUUGG